rnacentral:rRNA from 1 species
UAAAUAACCGCAGUACUCUGACUGUGCAAAGGUAGCAUAAUCAAUUGGCUUUUAAUUAAAGUCUAGAAUGAAUGAAAACAUGGGUAGUGCCUGUCUACUAUUAUAUUUAUUGAAUUUAAUAAGUAGGUGCAAAUGCCUACAUAGUUAAAAAAGACGAGAAGACCCUAGAAACUUGUAUACUUAUUUUGUUGGGGCGACAGAAUUACAAAGAACUAAUUUUAUUUUUACAGGGCGAAAGCAGAUAGAGUAAGUUACUCUAGGGAUAACAGCAUAAUUUUACAGUUUGUGACCUCGAUGUUGGACUAGGUAAAUAAUUUUUUAGAAGGAAAUUUAAAUGGCUCUGU